rnacentral:rRNA from 1 species
AGUGAAUAGAUACCCAGGUAGUCCACGCCCUAAACUAUGUUCUCUGGCUUUUCGGAGUAUCGACCCUCUGAGAGGCGAAAGCUAACGCGUUAAGAGAACCGCCUGGGAAGUACGGCCGCAAGGCUAAAACUCAAGAAUAGACGGGGACUUGCACAAGCGGUGGAUCAUGCGGUUUAAUUCGAUGGUAAACGAAGAACCUUACCAGGGUUUGAAAUUCAGACGAAAUCUCGAGGAAACUUGAGGUGUCUCACAAGGACGUCUGGACAGGUGUUGCAUGGCUGUCGUCAGUUCGUGGCUUAAGCUGUUCCCUUAAGUGGGGAAACGAACGCAACCUUCGUCCCGUGUUACAAGUGUCACGGGAGACUGCCGCACUGAGUGCGGAGGAAGCGGAGAUGACGCCAAGUCAGCAUGACCCUCUGAUAUCCUGGGCUACACGCAUGAUACAAUGGCCACUACAGUGGGUCGCAAAGGAGUAACCCGGAGCUAAUCCUCAAAAGUGGUCUCAGUUCGGAUUGAGGGCUGCAAUUCG